GGAGCUUGCAGUGUAUUUUUUUAACAUUCCAAGACCAUUAUGGAUAAACACCCCAAAAUGAGAGCUAAGAAGAGGUUCAGAAACGAUGAAAAAGACUCAGCAACUGACGAACCGGUGCCAAAAUGUGCCACAGCAGAGGAAAACUACAUUUUGAAGAAACCCGGUCCUUCUUUCACGAACCCCGCUGUCAAAACUGAACGAGUCAGUGAACCAACUGAAGUUAACAGCUUGACAACGAAUGAAGGCUUUUACUCGACCAACAGGUCAUUAACGGGGGAUUUUGGGACUAAACAGCACAUCGCCGACUUGGUUACAUUUCCAGUUUAUCCCUCGGGUCUAACUUCAAUGGUGCUAACCACUGAUAACGCGCUUUCCUCUUUUAGCGCAACUUCUCAGGCUUUCCCAGUUCAAGACAAGACGCAGCCAUUUAACUGUAAUUUGUCCAGUGACGCGCCUUUCCCAAAAAUAAACUAUCAGCCAAUCAGCAAUGCCUAUUUUCCGAUAGUAACCUAUCAACCAAUCAGCGCAGCGUCUGUAACAAACCGUGAGCCAAUCGGCGAAGCUCCCGUGUAUCCCAAUACCCGAGGUCUGAACUUCAAUCAGCCGCCUUCUGGAACAGAAAGUGAAGUGGCAGGAAUUCAGAAGAAAAAUGCUCCUAUCAAAAGGCCCAUGAAUGCCUUCUUCUUAUGGUCAAAGAUCCACCGACCCACCUUGUCUAAAGCCAACCCUAACGCUAGUAACUGCGACAUCAGUGUUCAGCUGGGGCUGGAAUGGCACAAACUGUCUGAAGAGCAGAAGAAGCCAUACUACGAAGAAGCCCGCCGAAUCAUGGCACAACACAUGGAGAAGUACCGAGAUUGGGUCUAUCGGCCAUGCAGAGAAAAAAAGAAGCAUUCCACAUCACUGAGGUCAGAGGUCGUCCCUUCGGCCCAAACCUCCUCACUCUUUUUUCCGAGAUGGGUACAGAGACCUAACCCUUACCCAGAGCCCCUAACAUCAGCGAGAGAGCAGCACGGUUUAAAAUAUCCAGGUUGUACUUAUUUAUAUGAAUAUUUCAGGUUCAUUACAAAUCAAUCUCAGCCUACCACAAUUGUUGCCAAAUGUUACCACACACAAAAAAUGCACUCUGCAAAUGAUGAGGUACUUAAGCCCAGAGUAUGCUUUGGUUUUUAUGUGUACGGUAGAGUACAGUACAUGUCAUUAUCAGCAGUGUGUAAAAAGCACAAGUAUUCUUUUUGUUGAUGAUCAAAUGCAGUAAUUUUGCAAGAUUAAAUAUAAAGACGUCACAAGUAACGACUUAAUUUCAUUCGCUGUAGAGCGAGUAUGAUAAAAAGGUCUUUUAGCUAGCUCACAGGUAUACUACUGAUCUAUAAACGCUCUAAAAAGGUUGAAAUCACCGGUUAUUCUUGAUUGGGUGGUUAUGAUAUGAAGCCAAAUUACGUCUUACGCUAAAAACGACGCCGUUUUUUUGUCAGCCAACAUUAACCAGGCCAUCGAGAUGCAGAAAGCUUUCAUCAACACAGAUCAAUGCCCUCUCUCUGCCCCAUGCUGUAUCUUCUCUGCAGACCUCCACAAGACUGGACAGCGGUUCUACCUGGCAGAAUCCAUUCCAUGUUCAAG